rnacentral:rRNA from 1 species
CAGUAGCCGCGGUAAUACGAAGGGGGCUAGCGUUGUUCGGAAUGACUGGGCGUAAAGGGCGCGUAGGCGGAUUGUUUAGUUAGGCGUGAAAUUCCUGGGCUUAACCUGGGGACUGCGCUUAAUACAGGCAGUCUAGAGUGAGGAAGAGGGUUGUGGAAUUCCCAGUGUAGAGGUGAAAUUCGUAGAUAUUGGGAAGAACACCGGCGGCGAAGGCGGCAACCUGGUCCUUGACUGACGCUGAGGCGCGAAAGCGUGGGGAGCAAACAGGAUUAGAUACCCCUGUAGUCCCUGUCUCUUAUAC